UUAAAUUCGUAAAGCCAAGCUUUGAACUGGUCAACAAAACCUAAUUGCUUCGUGAUUGGGACAGCUUAACUGGACUCGGUAGGUUGUGUCUUGACUCAGUGGGUCAAGUAUCCGAGUUGACAACCCAUGCAGACCUAGUCCCACAGAGAAGCCCAAAAGGGAUAAGGGCGGUGCACCUACAGGGGGCAGAUACUUGUAGAGGAUGAGAAAGAACUAAAAUCCCAGUUCAUUAGGGUAUGAUUAUGUUUCACUAAAAAGGAAGAGGUUACCCAAAAUGGGUGAAGUAGAGGAGAGGAAGUCCCAAAAAAGGGAAACUUGGGCAUGGAGGGGUGAAGACCAAUUAAAAGAGGCUUGAGGCAGAAGGAACGUUAGUGAAGGAGGAGGAGGAGAACCAGAGGGGUUUGGGUGAAAAAGUGGAAGCGAUUGGUGGGGAGGCUCCUUCUACUGCAAGGGAAAAAGGUGUGACGCGGACACUGCACCAAGAGAGAAAAUGUGAUACUCAUGAUUAGCCUGCAAGGGAGUGGGGGAUGAUGUGGUAGCAACAGUGAUCUAGACUUCACCCUUGUCCAAGCAAGCAUAUCUACGACACCUCUCUCUCUCUCUCUUGCUCUCUAUUUCCUUUCAUUUUUUGGUGGUACAUGAGCCACCACCACCCAUACACUCACUUCUCCAAAUGGGGUGGCUCCGGUCCCUCCUCUCCCCAGUGAAGAAGCUCUGGAUUCGCCUUCACUCUGCUCAGAAGAAGAGGAGGGGGAUAUACAUUCUGUACGAGGAUGUCAAAUCCUGCCACUACGAAGAUGUGCACGUCCUGUGGUCUAUACUGGUGGAGUCGCAUGCACCUUCUUUGCCAUCCACACAAUGAAGGCUCUGCAAUCUGAUAUAUAGUUCCUCAUGUACAUAUACAAUAUUUAAAGAAUGUUUUUUAUACUCAUAUAAAUUGGUAUUUACUCUUUUUCUUUUUUCUUCACUUUCCUAAGAUUUAAGCUACAUUUCAGAAUAUGGGUUUCUCAAUUUUUGUACAAGCUUGUAUCUAGCUCUUAACACUUAAAAAGAAAAAGAAAAUUCUGAGCGUGAUUGAAGCA